rnacentral:rRNA from 1 species
UACGAGGGGUGCAAGCGUUAUUCGGAUUGAUUGGGUGUAAAGGGUGUGCAGACGGCUUAUUAAGUCACUUGUUAAAUUCCUCGGCCUAACUGAGGGUAUGCAGGUGAUACUGAUGAGAUAGAGGGUGGAAGAGAGAAGUGGAAUUCUCGGAGUAGCGGUAAAAUGCGUAGAUCUCGAGAGGAACACCAAUGGCGAAGGCAGCUUCUUGGUCCAUUCCUGACGUUCAUACACGAAAGCGUGGGGAGCAAACAGG